rnacentral:lncRNA from 1 species
GAUGACGGGCCAUGACUCACCAGCUUCUCGGAACAUCUGCUCGGUCUCUAGGGUUUGGCCUUUUUCAAGAAUCAUGGUCCUUAUGCUCUGUGCAGGGGUUGAGGUCGCAUCGAAGGCUUGCUCGACACCAUUCACGAAGGUCACCGUGAUCUGCAGCGGGUGUUUGUCGGUUCGGUGCUUCACCUCCACCUGGCACGCAGGGUUUGAUUCCCUCGCCUUGCGUGAGUU